GAUGAACGCUGGCGGCGUGCCUAAUACAUGCAAGUCGAGCGAACAGACGAGGAGCUUGCUCCUCUGACGUUAGCGGCGGACGGGUGAGUAACACGUGGAUAACCUACCUAUAAGACUGGGAUAACUUCGGGAAACCGGAGCUAAUACCGGAUAAUAUAUUGAACCGCAUGGUUCAAUAGUGAAAUACGGUUUUGCUGUCACUUCUAGGUGGAUCCGCGCCGCAUUAGCUAGUUGGUAAGGUAACGGCUUACCAAGGCAACGAUGCGUAGCCGACCUGAGAGGGUGAUAGGCCACACGGGAACUGAGACACGGUCCAGACUCCUACGGGAGGCAGCAGUAGGGAAUCUGCCGCAAUGGGCGAAAGCCUGACGGAGCAACGCCGAGUGAGUGAUGACGGUCUUCGGAUCGUAAAACUCUGUUAUUAGGGAAGAACAAAUGUGUAAGUAACUAUGCACGUCUUGACGGUAACUAAUCAGAAAGCCACGGCUAACUACGUG
rnacentral:rRNA from 1 species